UCUGUUCUUCUCCCACUGAUUCAAACCCUAAUUUCAUGGCGAACAAUCAUGUAAACCUAGCCUCCUUCACAUUGAAAUGAUUCAACAAAUAGGACUCUCACCGGAUUUCAUCCUAUGGUUUUUUAUGGAUUCUCUUAUACGAUUCAAGUAUAAAUCCAACCCCCUUGAUGUUAUAUGCUUACUACUGAAACCCUAAUUCAAUGAAGAUCAGUGUUCUAUUGAAUAAGUGAUCAUUGAUUGAUUUAAGGCAUCUAUGGUUCCUCGCACCAAUUAUAGUGGUGUGUUCAAGUCGAGCAUAGUUGCGAUUCCAAAAGUCAGUUGUUUCGCUUGGCGUGCAGUCGUUAACAAGAUUCCUACUCUGGAUGCCUUUGGGUAUAGUGGUCUGUUGAUCGGAAAUGGGACCAGGAAAUGACAGAUUACGUUUUAGCUAAAUGUAUUUUUGCUAAAUUUGUUUGGUGCCAGAUCUGCGUAUGG
rnacentral:lncRNA from 1 species